rnacentral:rRNA from 1 species
CAGUAGCCACGGGAAUACGGAGGAUCCAAGCGUUAUCCGGAAUCAUUGGGUUUAAAGGGUCCGUAGGCGGUCUUGUAAGUCAGUGGUGAAAGCCCAUCGCUCAACGGUGGAACGGCCAUUGAUACUGCAGGACUUGAAUUAUUGGGAAGUAACUAGAAUAUGUAGUGUAGCGGUGAAAUGCUUAGAGAUUACAUGGAAUACCAAUUGCGAAGGCAGGUUACUACCAAUUGAUUGACGCUGAUGGACGAAAGCGUGGGUAGCGAACAGGAUUAGAUACCCCCGUAGUCCCUGUCUCUUAUAC